GAUCAUGGCUCAGGAUGAACGCUGGCGGCGUGCUUAACACAUGCAAGUCGAGCGAAGCAAUUUAAGUGAAGUUUUCGGAUGAAUCUUAAAUUGACUGAGCGGCGGACGGGUGAGUAACGCGUGGAUAACCUGCCUCACACAGGGGGAUAACAGUUAGAAAUGACUGCUAAUACCGCAUAAGCGCACGGUACCGCAUGGUACAGUGUGAAAAACUCCGGUGGUGUGAGAUGGAUCCG
rnacentral:rRNA from 1 species